rnacentral:lncRNA from 1 species
CAACAUCCUUUAAAUAAUCAAAAUCAAAUGCCGCUUUUAAGUAAUAUAAAUCCAUUCUUGUAUUCUCGUCAAAUGUCGCAAUGAGGUUUAUUUAUCACCACUGAGCCUCUCUGGACGAAAUAUGUGCUAAUAAUAAAUUGUCUUUUGUGAUUGUUCUUUGGUUGAAGUUAGCGCCGGAUCAGAAUAAUAACGGAAUAACAAUGUGAGAAAUCGAUUUCCAGAAUUUGAUCAUCUUCUUCCAAUAUGAACAUCCACACCUAGAAGACGUUUUGAACAGUUAUAGAGAUUCUGGCUCAGUUCUUCUUCCUAGCCAGUCAAAGUUAAUGGAUUUCCACAACGCUUUGACAUUCUUUAAAGUCGAAUCUACUCUGUGAACGAUCGUAAGAUAUAUGUAUAUUCGUUAAUAUCGUCCCAUUUCAUCACAUUUCGUCUCGUUUUUAUUUUCCAAAGAAAAGAUAAUAUUUGUUUUGGGUUUUUUGUCGUCCUUUAUUUUGGACUGAAGACUGGAGUAAAAAGUUAUGCCCUUGAUGACGUCAAUCAUUUUUUUGAAAUCAGAUCUGGUACUAAUGGCCAAAGGACUGGUCCCAAGAACUUAUAUGACUGCUCCCAAGACUGAACUGGACUGAAUAAUUAAGGACUGCCAGACCAUUAUUUGUUUUAAUCGGAUGAAUCAUUCAAAAAAGUUAUCUCGUUUCGUCUUCGUCUCUAAAUCGCCAUGCACAAAACUGUUUAGUCAAUGAUAAAGACAUAAUCACUGGCUUAGAAGCCCAAACUGACUUAAUGAAUAUCCUUCAGCCUACCAUUUACCUCCUUCGAUUACAUGUCUUCUGAUGAAAGGGCGUGGAAUGGUUUAGAGGAUCAACUUAAAUUACUAUUCACGUUUUAUUUCCACUGAUUCCAAAGUCAAAUCCUUCUGUCAAUUUUGUUAAUUCAAAAGAAGUAGUACUAUCUCUAUAUUUUAUAUUAAAAAAAUGAUUUUUUUUAAUGAUGUUGCUCAUUGAAGGUAAGAAAUUCCAUUCUAACUUGAACAUUCAGUUUUAUACCGAUAGUUAGUUAAUUUUUAGUAAUCGAUAAGCAAUAGAUAAUUAAGUGUUUUUAUUUUACGGUCAUGGAUAUAUUCUUCUGUUUAGGAACACACCGUAGAUCUAAUUUAUUUUAUUUCUCAUCAGUUAUAAUUAAAGUUGUUAGCAAUAUCUGUUUUAAGCAUUCUCAUAUUUUUUUGGGGGCUUGAAUACAUAUAAGCAAAAUUACUAUACCGUCCAUAAGGUAUAAUGCCAUUUAUUUGAUCAAUAUGAAAUCACAUAUUACUUUACUAUCUGGAAUCAAACUUUAAAAGUAAUAAUCAAACAAAAAUUAAAGUCAUCACAUCAGUAGGCACCAUAUUUUUUUUUUUCUUGGGCCUCUCAAGCAUAGAUACUCAGUCAAGAUUAACACGGUAUAACAUAAAAGCAAGAUCCAAAUAUAUUCAAACAUUAAUAUAACAUCAAACAAAUAAAGGCUACUAACUUUU